rnacentral:rRNA from 1 species
AUGCAAGGGGCGUUGCCGGAGAAGGAGGAGGAUGCAGAGCGCGUGGCCCGGCAAGCCACGGCAUACUGCAUCCGAGACGGUGAGUUGUACAGGAAGCGACCAAAUGACGUUUCACUGUGUUGCAUCUCUAGAGACCAAGGGAAGGAGUUGCUAUCUGACAUACACGGAGGGGACUGCGGGCACCACUCGUCAUCACGGACCCUCGUCGGCAAGGCAUUCCGCAGCGGAUUCUACUGGCCCACGACGCUCAACGACGCAGCCGAGCUGGUGAAGUCUUGUGAAGCCUGUCGGUUCCACGCCAAGCAGAUCCAUCAGCUGGCUCAGGGCCUCCAGAUCAUCCCACUCACAUGGCCGUUCGCGGUCUGGGGGCUGGAUAUCUUGGGCCCAUUCCCUCGAGCGCCUGGGGGCUACCGCUACCUCUACGUUGCCAUUGACAACUUCACCAAGUGGGCGGAGAUGGAAGCCGUCCGCACCAUCCCAGCUGGUUUCGUGGUCAAGUUUAUCAAGGGUCUCGUGAGCCGCUUCGGGGUCCCCAACCGCAUCAUCACUGAUAACGACCUGCUACGCUUCGGUGGCGCACCCCAGGAGCAAUGGUUAGGCCGAACGCGCCAACGCGAAGGUCCUGAGAGGCCUCAAGACUAG